rnacentral:piRNA from 1 species
CUGAGGAAGUUUAUCAAGUGGACGGCGC